CCUACGGGUGGCUGCAGUGGGGAAUAUUGCACAAUGGGGGAAACCCUGAUGCAGCGACGCCGCGUGAGUGAAGAAGCGUUUCGGCGCGUAAAGCUCUGUCAGCGGGGAAGAAAAACGGUUCGCGUGAGCCGCGGACGGUACCCGACCAAGAGCCCCCGGCUAACUACGUGCCAGCAGCCGCGGCAAUACGUAGGGGGCAAGCGUUAUCCGGAUUCAUUGGGGGUAAAGGGAGCGUAGACGGCUAGGCAAGUCUGGAGUGAAAGGCCGGGGCCCAACCCCGGGACUGCUCUGGAAACUGUGUGGCUGGAGUACAGGAGAGGUAGGUGGAAUUCCUGGUGUAGCGGUGAAAUGCGUAGAUAUUAGGAGGAACACCGGCGGCGAAGGCGGCUUGCUGGACUGAAACUGACGUUGAGGCUCGAAAGCGUGGGGAGCAAACAGGAUUAGAUACCCGUGUAGUC
rnacentral:rRNA from 1 species